rnacentral:rRNA from 1 species
CCUACGGGUGGCAGCAGUAGGGAAUUUUGCGCAAUGGGCGAAAGCCUGAUGCAGCAACGCCGCGUGAUUGAUUAAGCCUUUCGGGGUGUAAAGAUCUGUCAGUGGGGACGAAACUUGACGGUACCCACAGAGGAAGCACCGGCUAACCCCGUGCCAGCAGCCGCGGUAAUACGGAGGGUGCAAGUGUUGUCCGGAAGCAUUGGGCGUAAAGUGUGCGUAGGUGGCGUAUUAAGUCUGGUGUUAAAGGCAGAAGCUCAACUUGUGGUCGGCACUGGAUACUGGUAAGCUUGAGUGCGGGAGAGGGAAACGGAAUUCCUGGUGUAGCAGUGAAAUGCGUAGAUAUCGGGAGGAACACCGGUGGCGAAGGCGCGUUACUGGGCCGUAAUUGACGCUGAGGAACGAAGGCCAGGGUAGCGAAUGGGAUUAGAUACCCCAGUAGUC